GUUGUGGUCAGCUGAGUGCUGGUGUAUAUAGACCUGAGUUACCACUCCUGCUCACAGCGGGAGUAUUAGCACACUUGGUGAGUGUGUGAACUGUCUACCCAUAUCAGCAUAUUCACCUUAAUGAUAAGCUGAUCGUGGGUGACAUAUGGAGGCGAUUGAGCUGAGGAGGGCAGUUCACCUUGGGCAGUCCACAAACUCUUAGUUUGGUCCUGGGAGAAGAUUAAGUAGCCGCCGUCGAGCCGAGCAGUGUGUGUGUUAGCCGCUGAUAUAUGGAGUGUUUUCACAGAUCGACGUACUCAGGAUUGGCCUACUACAAUAUUGGCGCGGCGAGAGAGGUCUGUGGGCAGCAUCUUGAGACAUUGUUGGACCCUUUCACCUCGUCUUGCGACACGGCCGGUGGUGCCUCGCCCGCCACGACCACCACGACCACGACGACGACACGGCCGGUGGUGCCUCGCCCGCCACGACCACCACCACGACCACGACGACGACACGGCAGGUGUUGCCUCGCCCGCCACGACCACCACCACGACGACACGGCCAGUGUUGCCACGCCCGCAACACGGCCGGUGUUGCCUCAGUGGGAAGGUUGUGAGCGGGAGACAACACAGGAAGGAAAACGGGACGCAUGAAAAUAACGGGAAAGAACUGAUAAAGAUAAUUAACAAAUUAUGAUGUAUUUUAUAUUACAUGAAAACCUUGGUGUUAAUUUUACCUAAUUUUCACUAAUAGCUGUUCUCCCCCCUCCACCCCCCCUCUCCCCAUACACAG